GUGACUGCGUACCUUUUGUAUAAUGGGUCAGCGACUUAUAUUCUGUAGCAAGGUUAACCGUAUAGGGGAGCCGUAGGGAAACCGAGUCUUAACCGGGCGUUAAGUUGCAGGGUAUAGACCCGAAACCCGGUGAUCUAGCCAUGGGCAGGUUGAAGGUUGGGUAACACUAACUGGAGGACCGAACCGACUAAUGUUGAAAAAUUAGCGGAUGACCUGUGGCUGGGGGUGAAAGGCCAAUCAAACCGGGAGAUAGCUGGUUCUCCCCGAAAGCUAUUUAGGUAGCGCCUCGUGAAUUCAUCUCCGGGGGUAGAGCACUGUUUCGGCUAGGGGGCCAUCCCGGCUUACCAACCCGAUGCAAACUGCGAAUACCGGAGAAUGUUAUCACGGGAGACACACGGCGGGUGCUAACGUCCGUCGUGAAGAGGGAAACAACCCAGACCGCCAGCUAAGGUCCCAAAGUCAUGGUUAAGUGGGAAACGAUGUGGGAAGGCCCAGACAGCCAGGAUGUUGGCUUAGAAGCAGCCAUCAUUUAAAGAAAGCGUAAUAGCUCACUGGUCGAGUCGGCCUGCGCGGAAGAUGUAACGGGGCUAAACCAUGCACCGAAGCUGCGGCAGCGACGCUGAUGCGUUGUUGGGUAGGGGAGCGUUCUGUAAGCCUGUGAAGGUGUGUCGUGAGGCAUGCUGGAGGUAUCAGAAGUGCGAAUGCUGACAUAAGUAACGAUAAAGCGGGUGAAAAGCCCGCUCGCCGGAAGACCAAGGGUUCCUGUCCAACGUUAAUCGGGGCAGGGUGAGUCGACCCCUAAGGC
rnacentral:rRNA from 1 species